GACGAACGCUGGCGGCGUGCCUAAUACAUGCAAGUAGAACGCACAGUUUAUACCGUAGCUUGCUACACCAUAGACUGUGAGUUGCGAACGGGUGAGUAACGCGUAGGUAACCUGCCUGGUAACGGGGGAUAACUAUUGGAAACGAUAGCUAAUACCGCAUAAUAUUCAUUAUUGCAUGAUAAUUGAUUGAAAGAUGCUAUUGCAUCACUACCAGAUGGACCUGCGUUGUAUUAGCUAGUAGGUGAGGUAACGGCUCACCUAGGCGACGAUACAUAGCCGACCUGAGAAGGUGAUCGGCCACACUGGGACUGAGACACGGCCCAGACUCCUACGGGAGGCAGCAGUAGGGAAUCUUCGGCAAUGGACGAAAGUCUGACCGAGCAACGCCGCGUGAGUGAAGAAGGUUUUCGGAUCGUAAAGCUCUGUUGUAAGAGAAGAACGGGUGUGAGAGUGGAAAGUUCACACUGUGACGGUAUCUUACCAGAAAGGGACGGCUAACUACGUG
rnacentral:rRNA from 1 species